CAGUAGCCGCGGUAAUACAGAGGGUGCGAGCGUUAAUCGGAUUUACUGGGCGUAAAGCGUGCGUAGGCGGCUUCUUAAGUCGGAUGUGAAAUCCCUGAGCUUAACUUAGGAAUUGCAUUCGAUACUGGGAAGCUAGAGUAUGUGAGAGGAUGGUAGAAUUCCAGGUGUAGCGGUGAAAUGCGUAGAGAUCUGGAGGAAUACCGAUUGCGAAGGCAGCCAUCUGGCCUAAUACUGACGCUGAGGUACGAAAGCAUGGGGAGCAAACAGGAUUAGAUACCCCUGUAGUCCCUGUCUCUUAUAC
rnacentral:rRNA from 1 species